AGGCGCAGGGCUGGGAGGCGCAGGCGACGGCGGGGGCACACCCGGACCGGGGCUGGGCGGCUCCGGCGAAGGUGGCGGCGUGCCAGGCGCGGGGCUGGGAGGCGCAGGCGACGGCGGGGGCACACCCGGCGCGGGGCUGGGCGGCUCCGGCGAAGGCGGCGCAGGGCUGGGAGGCGCAGGGCUGGGCGGCUCCGGCGAAGGCGGCGGCGUGCCAGGCGCAGGGCUGGGAGGCGAAGGCGAAGGCGGGGGCACACCCGGCGCGGGGCUGGGCGGCUCCGGCGAAGGCGGCGGCGUGCCAGGCGCAGGGCUGGGAGGCGCAGGCGACGGCGGGGGCACACCCGGCGCGGGGCUGGGCGGCUCCGGCGAAGGUGGCGGCGUGCCAGGCGCAGGGCUGGGAGGCGCAGGCGACGGCGGGGGUACACCCGGACCGGGGCUGGGCGGCUCCGGCGAAGGCGGCGGCGUGCCAGGCGCAGGGCUGGGAGGCGCAGGCGACGGCGGGGGCACACCCGGCGCGGGGCUGGGCGGCUCCGGCGAAGGUGGCGGCGUGCCAGGCGCAGGGCUGGGAGGCGCAGGCGACGGCGGGGGCACACCCGGCGCGGGGCUGGGCGGCUCCGGCGAAGGCGGCGGCGUGCCAGGCGCAGGGCUGGGAGGCGCAGGCGACGGCGGGGGCACGCCCGGCGCGGGGCUGGGCGGCUCCGGCGAAGGCGGCGGCGUGCCAGGCGCAGGGCUGGGAGGCGCAGGCGACGGCGGGGGCACGCCCGGACCGGGGCUGGGCGGCUCCGGCGAAGGCGGCGGCGUGCCAGGCGCAGGGCUGGGAGGCGCAGGCGACGGCGGGGGCACACCCGGCGCGGGGCUGGGCGGCUCCGGCGAAGGCGGCGGAGUACCAGGCGCAGGGCUGGGAGGGGCAGGCGACGGCGGGGGCACACCCGGCGCGGGGCUGGGCGGCUCCGGCGAAGGCGGCGGCGUGCCAGGCGCAGGGCUGGGAGGCGCAGGGCGACGGCGGGGGCACACCCGGCGCGGGGCUGGGCGGCUCCGGCGAAGGCGGCGGCGUGCCAGGCGCAGGGCUGGGAGGCGCAGGCGACGGCGGGGGCACACCCGGCGCGGGGCUGGGCGGCUCCGGCGAAGGUGGCGGCGUGCCAGGCGCAGGGCUGGGAGGCGCAGGCGACGGCGGGGGCACACCCGGACCGGGGCUGGGCGGCUCCGGCGAAGGCGGCGGCGUGCCAGGCGCAGGGCUGGGAGGCGCAGGCGACGGCGGGGGCACACCCGGCGCGGGGCUGGGCGGCUCCGGCGAAGGCGGCGGCGUGCCAGGCGCAGGGCUGGGAGGUGCAGGCGACGGCGGGGGCACACCCGGCGCGGGGCUGGGCGGCUCCGGCGAAGGCGGUGGCGUGCCAGGCGCAGGGCUGGGAGGCGCAGGCGACGGCGGGGGCACACCCGGCGCGGGGCUAGGCGGCUCUGGCGAAGGCGGCGCAGGGCUGGGAGGCGCAGGGCUGGGAGGCGCAGGCGACGGCGGGGGCACACCCGGUGCGGGGCUGGGCGGCUCCGGCGAAGGCGGCGGAGUACCAGGCGCAGGGCUGGGAGGCGCAGGCGACGGCGGGGGCACGCCCGGACCGGGGCUGGGCGGCUCCGGCGAAGGUGGCGGCGCACCAGGCGCGGGGCUGGGAGGCGCAGGCGACGGCGGGGGCACGCCCGGCGCGGGGCUGGGCGGCUCCGGCGAAGGAGGCGGCGUGCCAGGCGCAGGGCUGGGAGGCGCAGGCGACGGCGGGGGCACACCCGGUCCGGGGCUGGGCGGCUCCGGCGAAGGCGGCGGCGUGCCAGGCGCAGGGCUGGGAGGCGCAGGCGACGGCGGGGGCACACCCGGCGCGGGGCUGGGCGGCUCCGGCGAAGGCGGCGGCGUGCCAGGCGCAGGGCUGGGAGGCGCAGGCGACGGCGGGGGCACACCCGGCGCGGGGCUGGGCGGCUCCGGCGAAGGCGGCGGCGUGCCAGGCGCAGGGCUGGGAGGCGCAGGCGACGGCGGGGGCACACCCGGCGCGGGGCUGGGCGGCUCCGGCGAAGGCGGUGGCGUGCCAGGCGCAGGGCUGGGAGGCGCAGGCGACGGCGGGGGCACACCCGGCGCGGGGCUAGGCGGCUCUGGCGAAGGCGGCGGCGUACCAGGCGCAGGGCUGGGAGGCGCAGGCGACGGCGGGGGCACACCCGGACCGGGGCUGGGCGGCUCCGGCGAAGGUGGCGGCGUGCCAGGCGCGGGGCUGGGAGGCGCAGGCGACGGCGGGGGCACACCCGGCGCGGGGCUGGGCGGCUCCGGCGAAGGCGGCGCAGGGCUGGGAGGCGCAGGGCUGGGAGGCGCAGGCGACGGCGGGGGCACACCCGGCGCAGGGCUGGGCGGCUCCGGCGAAGGCGGUGGCGUGCCAGGCGCAGGGCUGGGAGGCGCAGGCGACGGCGGGGGCACACCCGGCGCGGGGCUAGGCGGCUCUGGCGAAGGCGGCGCAGGGCUGGGAGGCGCAGGGCUGGGAGGCGCAGGCGACGGCGGGGGCACACCAGGUCCGGGGCUGGGCGGCUCCGGCGAAGGCGGCGGCGUGCCAGGCGCAGGGCUGGGAGGCGCAGGCGACGGAGGGGGCACACCCGGCGCGGGGCUGGGCGGCUCCGGCGAAGGCGGCGGCGUGCCAGGCGCAGGGCUGGGAGGCGCAGGCGACGGAGGGGGCACACCCGGCGCGGGGCUGGGCGGCUCCGGCGAAGGCGGCGGCGUGCCAGGCGCAGGGCUGGGAGGCGCAGGCGACGGCGGGGGCACACCCGGACCGGGGCUGGGCGGCUCCGGCGAAGGCGGCGGCGUGCCAGGCGCAGGGCUGGGAGGCGCAGGCGACGGCGGGGGCACACCCGGCGCGGGGCUAGGCGGCUCUGGCGAAGGCGGCGCAGGGCUGGGAGGCGCAGGGCUGGGAGGCGCAGGCGACGGCGGGGGCACACCCGGCGCGGGGCUGGGCGGCUCCGGCGAAGGAGGCGGCGUGCCAGGCGCAGGGCUGGGAGGCGCAGGCGACGGAGGGGGCACACCCGGCGCGGGGCUGGGCGGCUCCGGCGAAGGCGGCGGCGCGCCAGGCGCAGGGCUAGGAGGCGCAGGCGACGGCGGGGGCACACCCGGCGCAGGGCUGGGCGGCUCUGGCGAAGGAGGCGGCGUGCCAGGCGCAGGGCUGGGAGGCGCAGGCGACGGAGGGGGCACACCCGGCGCGGGGCUGGGCGGCUCCGGCGAAGGCGGCGGCGCGCCAGGCGCAGGGCUAGGAGGCGCAGGCGACGGCGGGGGCACACCCGGCGCGGGGCUGGGCGGCUCCGGCGAAGGCGGCGGCGUGCCAGGCGCAGGGCUGGGAGGCGCAGGCGACGGCGGGGGCACACCAGGUCCGGGGCUAGGCGGCUCUGGCGAAGGCGGCGGCGUGCCAGGCGCAGGGCUGGGAGGCGCAGGCGACGGAGGGGGCACACCCGGCGCGGGGCUGGGCGGCUCCGGCGAAGGCGGCGGCGUGCCAGGCGCAGGGCUGGGAGGCGCAGGCGACGGCGGGGGCACACCCGGCGCGGGGCUGGGCGGCUCCGGCGAAGGCGGCGGCGUGCCAGGCGCAGGGCUGGGAGGCGCAGGCGACGGCGGGGGCACACCCGGCGCGGGGCUAGGCGGCUCCGGCGAAGGCGGCGGAGUACCAGGCGCAGGGCUGGGAGGCGCAGGCGACGGCGGGGGCACACCAGGUCCGGGGCUGGGCGGCUCCGGCGAAGGAGGCGGCGUGCCAGGCGCAGGGCUGGGAGGCGCAGGCGACGGAGGGGGCACACCCGGCGCGGGGCUGGGCGGCUCCGGCGAAGGCGGCGGCGCGCCAGGCGCAGGGCUAGGAGGCGCAGGCGACGGCGGGGGCACACCCGGCGCAGGGCUGGGCGGCUCCGGCGAAGGAGGCGGCGUGCCAGGCGCAGGGCUGGGAGGCGCAGGCGACGGCGGGGGCACACCCGGCGCGGGGCUAGGCGGCUCUGGCGAAGGCGGCGCAGGGCUGGGAGGCGCAGGGCUGGGAGGCGCAGGCGACGGCGGGGGCACACCCGGCGCGGGGCUGGGCGGCUCCGGCGAAGGCGGCGGCGUGCCAGGCGCAGGGCUGGGAGGCGCAGGCGACGGCGGGGGCACACCCGGCGCAGGGCUGGGCGGCUCCGGCGAAGGCGGCGGCGUGCCAGGCGCAGGGCUGGGAGGCGCAGGCGACGGAGGGGGCACACCCGGCGCGGGGCUAGGCGGCUCCGGCGAAGGCGGCGGCGUGCCAGGCGCAGGGCUGGGAGGCGCAGGCGACGGCGGGGGCACACCCGGCGCGGGGCUGGGCGGCUCCGGCGAAGGCGGCGGCGUGCCAGGCGCAGGGCUGGGAGGCGCAGGCGACGGCGGGGGCACACCCGGCGCGGGGCUGGGCGGCUCCGGCGAAGGUGGCGGAGUACCAGGCGCAGGGCUGGGAGGCGCAGGCGACGGCGGGGGCACACCCGGCGCAGGGCUGGGCGGCUCCGGCGAAGGCGGCGGCGUGCCAGGCGCAGGGCUAGGAGGCGCAGGCGACGGAGGGGGCACACCCGGCGCGGGGCUAGGCGGCUCCGGCGAAGGUGGCGGCGUACCAGGCGCAGGGCUGGGAGGCGCAGGCGACGGCGGGGGCACACCCGGCGCGGGGCUGGGCGGCUGCGGCGAAGGUGGCGGCGUACCAGGCGCAGGGCUGGGAGGCGCAGGCGACGGCGGGGGCACACCCGGCGCGGGGCUAGGCGGCUCCGGCGAAGGCGGCGGAGUACCAGGCGCAGGGCUGGGAGGCGCAGGCGACGGCGGGGGCACACCCGGCGCGGGGCUAGGCGGCUCCGGCGAAGGCGGCGGAGUACCAGGCGCAGGGCUGGGAGGCGCAGGCGACGGCGGGGGCACACCCGGCGCGGGGCUAGGCGGCUCCGGCGAAGGUGGCGGAGUACCAGGCGCAGGGCUGGGAGGCGCAGGCGACGGCGGGGGCACACCAGGUCCGGGGCUGGGCGGCUCCGGCGAAGGUGGCGGCGUGCCAGGCGCAGGGCUGGGAGGCGCAGGCGACGGCGGGGGCACACCCGGCGCGGGGCUGGGCGGCUGCGGAGAAGGAGGCGGCGUGCCAGGCGCAGGGCUGGGAGGCGCAGGCGACGGCGGGGGCACACCCGGCGCGGGGCUGGGCGGCUCCGGCGAAGGCGGCGGCGCGCCAGGCGCAGGGCUGGGAGGCGCAGGCGACGGCGGGGGCACACCCGGCGCGGGGCUAGGCGGCUCUGGCGAAGGCGGCGGCGUGCCAGGCGCAGGGCUGGGAGGCGCAGGCGACGGAGGGGGCACACCCGGCGCGGGGCUGGGCGGCUCCGGCGAAGGCGGCGGCGUGCCAGGCGCAGGGCUGGGAGGCGCAGGCGACGGAGGGGGCACACCCGGCGCGGGGCUGGGCGGCUCCGGCGAAGGCGGCGGCGUGCCAGGCGCAGGGCUGGGAGGCGCAGGCGACGGCGGGGGCACACCCGGCGCGGGGCUGGGCGGCUCCGGCGAAGGCGGCGGCGUGCCAGGCGCAGGGCUGGGAGGCGCAGGCGACGGCGGGGGCACACCCGGCGCGGGGCUAGGCGGCUCCGGCGAAGGCGGCGGAGUACCAGGCGCAGGGCUGGGAGGCGCAGGCGACGGCGGGGGCACACCAGGUCCGGGGCUGGGCGGCUCCGGCGAAGGAGGCGGCGUGCCAGGCGCAGGGCUGGGAGGCGCAGGCGACGGCGGGGGCACACCCGGCGCGGGGCUGGGCGGCUCCGGCGAAGGCGGCGGAGUACCAGGCGCAGGGCUGGGAGGCGCAGGCGACGGCGGGGGCACACCCGGCGCGGGGCUAGGCGGCUCCGGCGAAGGCGGCGGAGUACCAGGCGCAGGGCUGGGAGGCGCAGGCGACGGCGGGGGCACACCCGGCGCGGGGCUAGGCGGCUCCGGCGAAGGCGGCGGCGUACCAGGCGCAGGGCUGGGAGGCGCAGGCGACGGCGGGGGCACACCCGGCGCGGGGCUAGGCGGCUCCGGCGAAGGUGGCGGCGUACCAGGCGCAGGGCUGGGAGGCGCAGGCGACGGCGGGGGCACACCCGGCGCGGGGCUGGGCGGCUCCGGCGAAGGAGGCGGCGUGCCAGGCGCAGGGCUGGGAGGCGCAGGCGACGGAGGGGGCACACCCGGCGCGGGGCUGGGCGGCUCCGGCGAAG
rnacentral:lncRNA from 1 species